GACUCCUACGGGAGGCAGCAGUAGGGAAUCUUCGCAUGGACGAAAGUCUGACGGAGCAACGCCGCGUGAACGAAGAAGGCCUUCGGGUCGUAAAGUUCUGUUGUUAGGGAAGAACAAGUACCAGAGUAACUGCUGGUACCUUGACGGUACCUAACCAGAAAGCCACGGCUAACUACGUGCCAGCAGCCGCGGUAAUUCGUAGGUGGCAAGCGUUGUCCGGAA
rnacentral:rRNA from 1 species